GAUCCUGGCUCAGAAUCAACGCUGGCGGCGUGCCUAACACAUGCAAGUCGAACGCGAAAGCCCCGCAAGGGGUGAGUAGAGUGGCAAACGGGUGAGUAACACGUGGGUGACCUGCCUUCGAGUGGGGGAUAACGUUCCGAAAGGAGCGCUAAUACCGCAUGACAUUCUGCGUUUGGAAACGUGGAAAUCAAAGCCGGGGAUCGCAAGACCUGGCGCUCGGAGAGGGGCCCGCGGCCGAUUAGCUAGUUGGUGGGGUAACGGCUCACCAAGGCAACGAUCGGUAUCCGGCCUGAGAGGGCGGACGGACACACUGGGACUGAGACACGGCCCAGACUCCUACGGGAGGCAGCAGUGGGGAAUUGUUCGCAAUGGGCGCAAGCCUGACGACGCAACGCCGCGUGGAGGACGAAGAUCUUCGGGUCGUAAACUCCUUUCGAUCGGGACGAACGGGUUCGGUGUAACAGCCCGGGCAGCAGUCACGGUACCAAAAGAAGACCCCGGACUAAUCCCGGC
rnacentral:rRNA from 1 species